UACGUAGGGUGCGAGCGUUGUCCGGAAUUACUGGGCGUAAAGAGCUCGUAGGUGGUUUGUCGCGUUGUCCGUGAAAACUCACAACUCAAUUGUGGGCGUGCGGGCGAUACGGGCAGACUGGAGUACUGCAGGGGAGACUGGAAUUCCUGGUGUAGCGGUGGAAUGCGCAGAUAUCAGGAGGAACACCGGUGGCGAAGGCGGGUCUCUGGGCCGAUACUGACGCUGAGGCGCGAAAGCGUGGGGAGCAAACGGG
rnacentral:rRNA from 1 species